GAGAGUUGGCAGAGUGGUCGAAUGCGGCGGUCUUGAAAACCGUUGUGCCGCAAGGUACCGGGGGUUCGAAUCCCUCACUCUCC
rnacentral:tRNA from 1 species